CAGGCCGUAGCGCAGAGGUCGUCGCGCCACUUCGCGCAGUUGGAGGACGCCGGUUCGAAUCCGGCCGGCCUGCC
rnacentral:tRNA from 2 species